UAACUUUCUCUUGACGUCUAUCUCUUUCUCAUCAUCACCAUUACCAUCUUAACUCUCCUCUCUUCCAAGAAUUUUAAACCUUGAUAUACCAAACAAAAAGAAAACUAAUCCAGAUAUGCAAAUGAUAAGAACCCUAAGCACAAGGACAAGAAGUCGUCGCAGCGGAUACGAGCGUGUAAGCGAUGAUUCCACCUUUAGCUUACUCGGAGCAAAGCUGAGGAGGUCAACUAGCGUUCCGUACUAUGCUCCAUCGAUAAGGCUUGGUGGAGACUUUCCUGUGAUCUUGGAAAAGCUUCCAAGCAAAAAACCAAAUAAAACAGUGGUGACAAGCAAGUUGAGCCAUCCGAUCUUUAGUUUAUUUGAUGGUUAUCGCCGCCGUAGCAAGAAGAAAGCAACGGCUAAGCCGGAGUUCUCUAGAUACCAUGAAUACCUUAAAGAAAGUGGAAUGUGGGAUUCAAGAUCUAAGACCAUCUUUACUGGGGAAUACUCUGUGAGUUACUCUCACAUUUGGACCCCAUUUGUGAAUAAAAAAUCCAUUUUUGAGUCCAUCAAGCAGAGUAUCGAUACUGUGGGAAGCCAUUGGAGCAACCGAUACUCUGCCUAAUAAAAUAUUAAAAAAACUCUUCUCUCUCUCUCAGUCGACGAAGCUUCAAGCUUUGGUGGAACCAAACCAACGGAAGAGGAUGCGAUUCUCGUCUCCUUCAGCUACAGAGAUCCUCGCUACUAAAAAAUCACUGAACCACCAGCGACUCGCAUCUCAUCACCAUCACUCUUAGGAAAAAAAACCGAUCGAAUGUAUCCUCCGCGAGUCACCAUCAAGGAUCUGCGUCUCAGACGCAUCUCCUCUCCGAGUCCGAACUCCACCGACGACAGCGAAUUAAACGGCAAAGAAGAAACCGAAGCAAGGAAGAACAAUACCAUAUAUCUCGUUGCAAAUGUCCGGAUUCGAACAAUGGAAUCAAAGCUCAUGCUUGUGGAUUAAGAAAUGUAGAAGCAGAGGAGUUACUUCAAACGACGUUAUAAGAGAUUGCUUCCAUACUUUAUGUCUGAUGGAACGUCAUCAAGCCGGUGCUCAAACCUUUAAGCCAGAAUCCUCUAGAUAUUAGUUUAUCCUGUAACAGAGAAGCUGGAUAAACUGGUGAAGACGUAGAGGAGGAAGUUAGUGAGUUGAUGCUCAUGGAGAUGAUUGUGGCAAAUGCAUUGUGUCACGUUUGCUAAGCUUCAAAUCCUUUCAUUGAAGCUUUUGUUAUUGUCGUUUAGUUCUUUCUCUCUGCAAAUAGGCAAUCUUGUACGUGCUAUGCUUCCGAAUGAGAUCAGUCCUGGACGUUCCUAGCUUUCGAUCGCAGCUUACACCAUUGUUGUCAGUUUUAUCUCACAAACUAGACCCGUUGAAGAAGUGCCAUCAAUUGGUAGUUUCUGAGUUCCGUAAACAAGCCAAAGCAGCUGGUCUGUUCAUUGUCUCGGAAGCCUGCAUUUUGAAUGGCCUACCCAAGUCUGAGCUCUCUCGUGAAAGGCUUGUUUUGUUCAUCCCGUUCGACCAGUGCUUGCUACAAAAAUCUAAAAGGUUCACUAUCUUAACUGGUACGUAGAUGAAGAGAAGCAGCAGAUUGUUAAGAUGGAUGGAGAAGCAGCAGCAGGUUCACUAUGCUAACUGUGAUGUUGUUUAUAACUCAAAGCCAGCUCGCCGGCGUCGGCCGUGAGUAUGUUCCAGAGUCCAGACCUUGUUAGAAGAUUGAUGCUUCUCAGAAUGUAUGUGAUGUUGCCGUAGUGGUUGCCAACAGGUUGCACUAUACAAGUUUAUAUAACUACAAAUCGAUGUUGGUUAUCUUAAUACUACUAUUUAGUAUUCUUUUCUGUCAUAUUAUAUCACUCCAGUGGCGGACCUACAUGCAGGAAAGAGGGGUCAGCUGACCUCCCCAAAUUUCAAAUUUUCCCUCAUUGUUAUGAGCAAAAUACAUUCUUGUGGGGUUAUAUAUAUCUCAGUAUCAAUUUUCAUAACAAAGGAUUCCUGAUCAGCUGGAAGAGAAGAGAAGGAAGAGUGAGAUGAGGAGAGUCCAACUGGUAACCCCCUUCCUAUCCAAAAUGAACCACAUAUGAAAAGAG